rnacentral:rRNA from 1 species
GACGAACGCUGGCGGCGUGCUUAACACAUGCAAGUCGAACGGAAAGGCCCUGCUUUUGUGGGGUGCUCGAGUGGCGAACGGGUGAGUAACACGUGAGUAACCUGCCCUUGACUUUGGGAUAACUUCAGGAAACUGGGGCUAAUACCGGAUAGGAGCUCCUGCUGCAUGGUGGGGGUUGGAAAGUUUCGGCGGUUGGGGAUGGACUCGCGGCUUAUCAGCUUGUUGGUGGGGUAGUGGCUUACCAAGGCUUUGACGGGUAGCCGGCCUGAGAGGGUGACCGGCCACAUUGGGACUGAGAUACGGCCCAGACUCCUACGGGAGGCAGCAGUGGGGAAUAUUGCACAAUGGGCGGAAGCCUGAUGCAGCAACGCCGCGUGCGGGAUGACGGCCUUCGGGUUGUAAACCGCUUUCGCCUGUGACGAAGCGUGAGUGACGGUAAUGGGUAAAGAAGCACCGGCUAACUACGUGCCAGCAGCCGCGGUGAUACGUAGGGUGCGAGCGUUGUCCGGAUUUAUUGGGCGUAAAGGGCUCGUAGGUGGUUGAUCGCGUCGGAAGUGUAAUCUUGGGGCUUAACCCUGAGCGUGCUUUCGAUACGGGUUGACUUGAGGAAGGUAGGGGAGAAUGGAAUUCCUGGUGGAGCGGUGGAAUGCGCAGAUAUCAGGAGGAACACCAGUGGCGAAGGCGGUUCUCUGGGCCUUUCCUGACGCUGAGGAGCGAAAGCGUGGGGAGCGAACAGGCUUAGAUACCCUGGUAGUCUACGCUGUAAACGGUGGGUACUAGGUGUGGGGUCCAUUCCACGGGUUCCGUGCCGUAGCUAACGCUUUAAGUACCCCGCCUGGGGAGUACGGCCGCAAGGCUAAAACUCAAAGGAAUUGACGGGGCCCCGCACAAGCGGCGGAGCAUGCGGAUUAAUUCGAUGCAACGCGUAGAACCUUACCUGGGUUUGACAUGGAUCGGGAGUGCUCAGAGAUGGGUGUGCCUCUUUUGGGGUCGGUUCACAGGUGGUGCAUGGCUGUCGUCAGCUCGUGUCGUGAGAUGUUGGGUUAAGUCCCGCAACGAGCGCAACCCUUGUUCACUGUUGCCAGCACGUUAUGGUGGGGACUCAGUGGAGACCGCCGGGGUCAACUCGGAGGAAGGUGGGGAUGACGUCAAGUCAUCAUGCCCCUUAUGUCCAGGGCUUCACGCAUGCUACAAUGGCUGGUACAGAGAGUGGCGAGCCUGUGAGGGUGAGCGAAUCUCGGAAAGCCGGUCUCAGUUCGGAUUGGGGUCUGCAACUCGACCUCAUGAAGUCGGAGUCGCUAGUAAUCGCAGAUCAGCAACGCUGCGGUGAAUACGUUCCCGGG